rnacentral:rRNA from 1 species
GACGAACGCUGGCGGCGUGCUUAACACAUGCAAAUCGAACGGAAAGGCCCUGCUUUUGUGGGGUGCUCGAGUGGCGAACGGGUGAGUAACACGUGAGUAACCUGCCCUUGACUUUGGGAUAACUUCAGGAAACUGGGGCUAAUACCGGAUAGGAGCUCCUGCUGCAUGGAGGGGGUUGGAAAGUUUCGGCGGUUGGGGAUGGACUCGCGGCUUAUCAGCUUGUUGGUGGGGUAGUGGCUUACCAAGGCUUUGACGGGUAGCCGGCCUGAGAGGGUGACCGGCCACAUUGGGACUGAGAGACGGCCCAGACUCCUACGGGAGGCAGCAGUGGGGAAUAUUGCACAAUGGGCGGAAGCCUGAUGCAGCAACGCCGCGUGCGGGAUGACGGCCUUCGGGUUGUAAACCGCUUUCGCCUGUGACGAAGCGUGAGUGACGGUAAUGGGUAAAGAAGCACCGGCUAACUACGUG